ACUGAGACACGGACCAGACUCCUACGGGAGGCAGCAGUGAGGAAUAUUGGGCAAUGGACGCAAGUCUGACCCAGCCAUGCCGCGUGCAGGAUGACUGCCCUAUGGGUUGUAAACUGCUUUUGUUUGGGAAGAAACCCCCGAUCGUGAUCGGGGCUGACGGUACCAUACGAAUAAGCAUCGGCUAACUCCGUGCCAGCAGCCGCGGUAAUACGGAGGAUGCAAGCGUUAUCCGGAUUCAUUGGGUUUAAAGGGUGCGCAGGCGGAAUAUUAAGUCAGUGGUGAAAUCCUGCAGCUUAACUGUAGAACUGCCAUUGAUACUGAUAUUCUUGAAUAUAGUUGAGGUGGGCGGAAUGUGUAAUGUAGCGGUGAAAUGCUUAGAUAUUACACAGAACACCAAUUGCGAAGGCAGCUCACUAAACUAAUAUUGACGCUGAGGCACGAAAGCGUGGGUAGCAAACAGGAUUAGAUACCCUGGUAGUCCACGCUGUAAACUAUGAUCACUCGCUGUUGGCAAUACAUCGUCAGCGGCUGAGCGAAAGCAUUAAGUGAUCCACCUGGGGAGUACGGUCGCAAGAUUGAAACUCAAAGGAAUUGACGGGGGCCCGCACAAGCGGAGGAACACGUGGUUUAAUUCGAUGAUACGCGAGGAACCUUACCUGGGCUUAAAUGCAGAGCGACGUCCGCCGAAAGGUGGAUUCCUUCGGGCGAUCUGCAAGGUGCUGCAUGGUUGUCGUCAGCUCGUGCCGUGAGGUGUCGGGUUAAGUCCCAUAACGAGCGCAACCCUUAUCGUUAGUUGCCAGCGGGUAAUGCCGGGGACUCUAACGAAACUGCCGGUGUAAACCGUGAGGAAGGUGGGGAUGACGUCAAAUCAGCACGGCCCUUAUGUCCAGGGCUACACACGUGUUACAAUGGUCGGUACAGAGGGCAGCUACCACGCAAGUGGAUGCUAAUCUCGAAAACCGGUCUCAGUUCGGAUUGAAGUCUGCAACUCGACUUCAUGAAGCUGGAUUCGCUAGUAAUCGCGCAUCAGCCAUGGCGCGGUGAAUACGUUCCCGGGCCUUGUACACACCGCCCGUCAAGCCAUGGAAGCUUGGGGUACCUGAAGUCCGUAACCGCAAGGACGGCCUAGGGUAAGACAA
rnacentral:rRNA from 1 species